UUCCUGGUGGUCCAGUGAUUAGGACUCUGUGCUUCCACUGCUGGGGGCCCAGGUUCAAUUCCUGGUUGGGAAA
rnacentral:tRNA from 1 species